GAUGAACGCUGGCGGCGUGCCUAACACAUGCAAGUCGAGCGAACGGACGAGAAGCUUGCUUCUCUGAUGUUAGCGGCGGACGGGUGAGUAACACGUGGAUAACCUACCUAUAAGACUGGGAUAACUUCGGGAAACCGGAGCUAAUACCGGAUAAUAUUUUGAACCGCAUGGUUCAAAAGUGAAAGACGGUCUUGCUGUCACUUAUAGAUGGAUCCGCGCUGCAUUAGCUAGUUGGUAAGGUAACGGCUUACCAAGGCAACGAUGCAUAGCCGACCUGAGAGGGUGAUCGGCCACACUGGAACUGAGACACGGUCCAGACUCCUACGGGAGGCAGCAGUAGGGAAUCUUCCGCAAUGGGCGAAAGCCUGACGGAGCAACGCCGCGUGAGUGAUGAAGGUCUUCGGAUCGUAAAACUCUGUUAUUAGGGAAGAACAUAUGUGUAAGUAACUGUGCACAUCUUGACGGUACCUAAUCAGAAGGCCACGGCUAACUACGUG
rnacentral:rRNA from 1 species